GAACUGUAAAUACCAGGUGGUGUGGGCAAGAGAUGUCAGGAGAAGGCACAUACAGCAGAAAUAAUUGUUCUCGGUUGGGAUAAACCAGGAGGGCUUCCCAGGGGAGGUGACAUGUGAGGGAGAUCAGAAUGGAGGCGUCCCAGGACAAGACUUUUCUAACUAACUUAGCUAGAGUGGGGACCACAGGGGAUCCGGAGUAUGUCAUUGUCUCACUUGGCUGAUUUUUCUCAUCUCAGUAGAUGCAGAGGACAGUUGCAGAGCCAUGACACCCUGUUGACUUGGGAGAUGAAGGUGACCUUGCAGCCCCAGCAACCAGAUACCGAACUCCCAGGCUCCCAAAGGGACAUUGUCCAUAGGAGCUUAAAAAGUGAAGUCAUCAGUUUCCUAGCUUCAAAAUUCAAAAGCCUCAUUCCAGGCACAGAUGGGCUGGAAGAAGUUACACUCAGAGCCCAGGUAAAGAUCCUCAGAGCUGGGGAGCUGGGGAGAGGGGCAUAAGAAAGUUAGACAUUGGGGCAUUUUUCAGAAGAGUUGCACACUGCUCUUUUGCUCAGGCCAUGGCUGGGGUGGGUGAAAACUAAUAGAUCCUUGGUCAACAUGGGAAACUGAGGCAAGAGAGUGCCCAUGCCUCACUUUCUAGCUGGCAUCCUGGGAGGUGUUUCUGCUCCCAGCCUUGUAGUGAUGGUGGGGUUUUGUCCUGCACAGGCUGUGUAGGCUUCCUUUAUGGAGAGUGGUUUGCUCAUGUAAAUGGGCUGGGUGGGUACAGAGAGGAUCUGACACCAAUACUUUGGGUUUCCUGUGGCCCCAGAGAGGAGUGGGAGGCCAACUCUUACACCUGAGGGAGGGCACAUACCGACCAAACCAGAGAUUGCAUUUCCUAGCUUCCCUUGUAGCUAGGUAGGGUCAUGUAACAAGGUAUAUUAGUUUACCAUUGUUGCUGUAACAAAUUUCUAUAGACUUAGCC
rnacentral:lncRNA from 1 species